CGGGCGGCGGCGCGAUGGCGCGGGUGGCGGCGGCCCCGGGGCGGCGGGCGGCGCGGAGGGCGGGCUGAGCGCAUGGAGCGGCGCGGGCCGGGGGCCGCCACGGCGAGGGGCCGGGCCAGGCCGGGCGGAGAUUUCACAGGGACACACACGGAACAUGUGACUUGGUCUGAGACCGUGGUGAUUACGGAUAGGAUGGACACAGACUCACCACCAAGUUCUGGCAAGCUAGAACCAGAGGGCAUCCCUUGAUGCUUAGUGUGGAAACAGGAGAAGUGAAGGAAUCUUAACUUCCAGAGGGGCACAGGGUCAAGGAUACCAGACCUGGAGACUGGAAGUCUUUUCAGAGAGACUGUCCUCAGAGAGGAGACCAGAGGCAUGAGUUCGGGUCGGCAGGAAAUCCCCCUGUGCAGUGAAGACCAGAGCAGCUGAGUUCCAGAUAAAAACUGUCAGACCCGGCCUGUAGGCUGCUCCAUUGCCAAUGAACUCCAUGAACCCCAUGAAACCUGCCCUGCCCCCUGCGCCACACGGUGAUGGUUCAUUCGCAUAUGAGUCUGUGCCUUGGCAACAAAGCGCCACUCAGCCGGCUGGAUCGCUGUCUGUGGUCACUACUGUGUGGGGAGUUGGCAACGCGACACAGAGCCAGGUUUUGGGGAACCCCAUGGGCCCUGCAGGGAGUCCCUCUGGCAGCUCCAUGAUGCCUGGUGUGGCAGGGGGCAGCUCCGCCUUGACCUCCCCACAGUGCCUGGG
rnacentral:lncRNA from 10 species